rnacentral:rRNA from 1 species
UACGGGGGGGGCAAGCGUUGUUCGGAAUUACUGGGCGUAAAGCGCGUGUAGGCGGUUAUGCAAGUCGGGUGUGAAAGCCCGGAGCUCAACUCCGGAAGUGCAUUCGAUACUGCGUAGCUAGAGUACUGGAGAGGAUGGUGGAACUCUCGGUGUAGAGGUGAAAUUCGUAGAUAUCGAGAAGAACACCGGCGGCGAAGGCGGCCAUCUGGACAGAUACUGACGCUGAGACGCGAAAGCGUGGGGAGCAAACAGG